rnacentral:lncRNA from 1 species
GUAUCUUUGCUGCUUGAAAGUAAAAAUCUAAGUUAGACCAAGGCAAGUGAUAGAGAAGCACUAAUGGGAAGGUCCCUCUGAGCACUAAACAGUGGCUUCCAUUGAGAUUUGGGAAGCUUUUUGUUCAUGCAAAAUGAGGACGAAAUACUGGAAAACGACUGGAGAAAAAAGGCAUCCCUGGGGAACAACAUUCAUCUGAAGAGCCAACUGGGAGCCGGGAUGGGAAACUACUAAAGUUUGAUGCACCAGACUUUGGCCUGAUGCGCUCUCAGCAAAAUGUACAGAGGAGAUGGCCACUUGGUCUUUGGGAGCCCCUGGCUCUCUCUUUUUAAUGACACUAGCUGCUCUUAGCGCCCACUACAGGAAAUGAAGCAAUGGAAGAAGCGCACCUCAUGUGAAAGCAUUUGGAUUUUGCUAGGCUAUUUUCUGAGUAGUAUUUGUCCCGUGGAAAAAUACAGAAGAGGAAAUGAUCUUAGUUAUUCAUGUCUUCAUUCUCCACAUUUGCUCUAUGUUUGGCCUGUGCCAGGGUUGUAGGAGAUGUCGAAAAAGCUCAGAUUCUGCCAAGCAAGGAGUCUGUGACAUCCUCGUGGUUAACAAGUAGGAAGUGACAAAUCCCUGAGGGGAGAUGUGAGGGCCUGCAGUUCCACGAGGGAGCGUUUGCCCAGGGGGUUCAGGGACAUCCUGGUGGUGGUGUCUUCGCUCUCCAGACAGACUCCUUCUAAACACCAUAAAGAAGAGGGCCUGGCCAGGCGCGGUGGCUCACACCUGUAAUCCCAGCACUUUUGGAGGCCGAGAAGAGCAGAUCACGAGGUCAGGAGAUCGAGACCAUCCUGGCUAAUAUGGUGAAACCCCGUCUCUACUAAAAAUACAAAAAAAUUAGCUGGUCAUGAUGGUGGGCGCCUGUGGUCCCAGCUACUUGGGAGGCUGAGGCAGGAGAAUGGCAUGAACUCAGGAGGCGGAGCUUGCAGUGAGCUGAGACCGCACCACUGCACUCCAGCCUGGGCAACAGAGCAAGAGUCCAUCUCAAAAAAAAAGAAGAGGGCCUUGCCAUGCCCUUCUGUGCCUCCCCACACCUCUUGCAUGGGGUGACAGAUUCACCAGAGGCAUACAGUAUGGGUAAUUAAAUGGGCUUAGCUCAAGUUGGAGAAGAACUAUUGCUAACCUCUUUGUGUUUGGGUUAGGUGGCUAUUAUCUACUUAAUAAAAUAAUGUUGAAAAAGCAGGGCCCACUGGGACUGAUGGGGGUGCCGUUCACAAUGUUCACAAUGUAUUAUAAGUGAACAAUGCCCCCACAUGUGGGCAGCAUGGCCCGCUCUUCCAGAAGAGUAAGUCACAGCCAAUGUGAAGUGACUCAAGAGUAUACAAAGACUGCUCCUUACUUCUUUUUGACAAGGAACUUCCACAAGUAGAAAACUCAAGGAUUCCUUUGAGCCUUAACAGCUAUUUGGUCCUUCAGAAUACAUAUUAAAAUGCAAAUGUCAGCCGGGCGCGGUGGCUCACGCCUGUAAUCCCAGCACUUUCGGAGGCCGAGGCGGGCGGAUCAUGAGCUCAAGAGAUCAAGACCAUCCUGGCCAACAUGGUGAAACCCCGUCACUACUAAAAAUACAAAAAUUAGCUGGGCAUGGUGGUGUGUGCCUAUAGUCCCAGCUAUUCAGGAGACUGAGGCAGGAGAAUCACUUGAACCCAGGAGGUAGAGGUUGCAGUGAGCCAAGAUCGCGCCACUGCAGGCGACAGAGAGAGAUUCUAUCUCAAAGAAAAAAUAAUAAUAAUAAAUAAAUAAAAUGCAAAUGUCUCCUAGGACAGAGCAGUAUUUUGUCUUAGGGACAGGAAGGAUUAUCUGACAACUAAGUAGAAGCAAGGAUGGCUGGAAGAGAGAGGGGCAUGAUCCAGAAAAGGGCAGUGGUGGCCAGGAUCAUCACAGCUUGAUCUUUAUGAUAAUCUAGUUUGCUUCUCUUUUGUAAAAGGUGAAUGUGAUGAUCCAGGAAGUUAGAUAAUUUGCAAUCUCCCACAACCUGGAAAUUCUUUCUCUGGAGCCCUUGGUAAUGAUAAUAGCAAUAAUAAUGAUGAUAGUUAACAUUUCUUGAACUCUUGCUAUGUGAAAGGCACAGUUAGGCUCUUUAUACAUAUUAGCUUAUUUAAUUGCUCAUGAUGUCCUUAUGGUGUAGGUAAUAAUAUUUUUCUCAUUUUUACAGAUGAGGAGACUGACCUACAGAGAGGUAAAGUCCCUUGGCAAGGUCUCAUAGCUAGUGAGGGAAAGAAGAAUGUGUCACUUGAGGGAAAGACAGGAAGCCAUUGCCCCUGCAUACUGUUGUGUGAGCAAAGGCACUGAGGUGGG